UUGAGAGAAAACCUAGAGAGAAGAAAGAAAGAACCAUCAGAAAACUCAUCGGACCACAGCUGAAAGUUGCCAGCCACGAUCUAAUGACAAGGACUUCUUGGAAGGAAGAAGAAGAUGUUGGUAUUCGGAGUCCCGUUUUCCAUCACGAGAUCGAGAAAAUCGGCAAGAGGGAAUUCUCCACAAGAUUCAUGAAGGAAACCAGCUCUGGUCCGAAGGUGAAGAUUCGAGCCGAUUUCCAAAAACGGAGGAGAGAGAAAAAUUUUCGACAAGUCACGUGUCAAACCGCCCUAGUGAAGUACGAUUGCAGAAUCCAACCCGCACGUGACACUUGCGACUAGACUUCGUUUGGGUUCAUGGUGGCGGCGUGUGAGGACGCGUGGCAACACGUGGGAGCGUGGACCUAAUUGGGGAAAAUCAAUAUUUUUAGACACUUUACGGGCAUGGAAACGCUAGCGAAGGGGCACACAUCAACAAAGUGUUCGUAGACUGUCGGUCGAGGUAAAGAAGCAUUCGAGAGCUGUACAGCCACAGGGGGGGUUGUUCUAGAGGGUCAUUCUCUUUUCGAUUUUUUUUAGUCUUUUGUAAAUUUUCCUCUGAAUUUGUAUUUUCUCUUAUUUUGUAAAUUUGAAUCCUCUUUUCAAACAUUUGAAACUUACA